UGCUGGAGGUAUCAGAAGUGCGAAUGCUGACAUAAGUAACGAUAAAGCGGGUGAAAAGCCCGCUCGCCGGAAGACCAAGGGUUCCUGUCCAACGUUAAUCGGGGCAGGGUGAGUCGACCCCUAAGGCGAGGCCGAAAGGCGUAGUCGAUGGGAAACAGGUUAAUAUUCCUGUACUUGGUGUUACUGCGAAGGGGGGACGGAGAAGGCUAUGUUAGCCGGGCGACGGUUGUCCCGGUUUAAGCAUGUAGGCUGAUUAUCCAGGCAAAUCCGGAUAAUCAAGGCUGAGGUGUGAUGACGAGGCACUACGGUGCUGA
rnacentral:rRNA from 1 species